rnacentral:rRNA from 1 species
AGGAUGAACGCUGGCGGCGUGCCUAAUACAUGCAAGUCGAACGAGGUGCUUUUGUAGCAAUACGAGAGUAUCCUAGUGGCGAACGGGUGAGUAACGCGUUGGUGACCUACCCAAAGUGUGGAAUAACAGUCCGAAAGGAUUGCUAAUACCGCAUGUGGUUAUCGGGUUUAGAAACUGAUAACUAAAGGAGCAAUUCGCUUUGGGAGGACCUGCGUCCCAUCAGCUAGUUGGUGAGGUAAUGGCUCACCAAGGCUACGAC